rnacentral:tRNA from 1 species
GGUCUAUUAGUUCAAUUGGUUAGAGCAUUAUGCUAAUAAUAUAAAAGUCAUAAGUUUGAAUCUUAUAUGGUCCA